rnacentral:rRNA from 1 species
AUUGAACGCUGGCGGCAUGCUUUACACAUGCAAGUCGAACGGUAACAGGGUGCUUGCACCGCUGACGAGUGGCGAACGGGUGAGUAAUGCGUCGGAACGUGCCGAGUAGUGGGGGAUAACGCAGCGAAAGUUGUGCUAAUACCGCAUACGUACUGAGGUAGAAAGUGGGGGACCUUCGGGCCUCACGCUAUUCGAGCGGCCGACGUCUGAUUAGCUAGUAGGUGAGGUAAAGGCUCACCUAGGCGACGAUCAGUAGCGGGUCUGAGAGGAUGAUCCGCCACACUGGGACUGAGACACGGCCCAGACUCCGACGGGAGGCAGCAGUGGGGAAUUUUGGACAAUGGGCGAAAGCCUGAUCCAGCCAUGCCGCGUGUCUGAAGAAGGCCUUCGGGUUGUAAGGGACUUUUGUCGGGGAGGAAAUCCCCAGCGUUAAUACCGCUGGGGGAUGACAGUACCUGAAGAAUAAGCACCGGCUAACUACGUGCCAGCCGCCGCUGUAAGAC